UCACAGUUAACUGUACCAGUGAACUUGAGAAAAUCUUGUCUCCAGUGCCUUUUUCAUGUCACUCAACUCUGUGCUGCCGUUGCAGGAACCGGUGUCCUUCAAGGGCGUGGCUGUGGACUUCACCCAGGAGGAGUGGCAGCAGCUGGACGCUGACGAGAAGACCACGUACAGGGACGUGAUGCUGCUGGAGAACUACAGCAACCUCGUCUCCGUGGGUGAGGCCGCUUGCUAUCUAAACACUUGAAAUUUAGACUCUUCUUGAGUUUGAGGAAACAAAUGGUAAGCUCUUUUUAGUUCCUUUUGGGCAGAGGUCAAGUUUUGUAUUUUUACCUCUCCAUUGGAAGGUUCUGAUUUUGAUAAGUAAAAAAUGGGGUCUUUAUUGUAUAGCAUGGGUGGCAGCAUCUUCUGCAGUCGAUUUCUGAAGUCAGCCAGCUAGUCCAAGUACCUCUGCAUUUCUUGUUAACAGGGUACGAUGUUACCAAACCAAAUGUGAUCAUUAGGUUGGAGCAGGGAGAAGAGCCAUGGAUGAUAGAAGGUGACUUGUCCUCUCACAGUUGUCCAGGAGAAGUCUGCAAAGCUGGUGACCUAGUAGAGGACAUUGAAGGCAAGCAUUUGAGGCAAGCUGUCGACAUCAACAACCAAGACCUGCUGGAAGACAGAGGGUGUGCAUUUGAAAAAAUGUGCAAUGUAGAAUCUCUCCUUGUUUCACCAAGCAUGAUAGCUCACAGUUGUGUCUCCUGUGGAAAGAUUUAGAAUCUAUUUCAGAAUUAAUUAGUAGUGAUGGAAGCUAUGCAACAAAGAGAUUUGGAGAGUGCAUUGAAUGUGGAAAAACAUACGGAGAGACACCCUAUGAGUUUAAUCAAAAUAGGGAUGUCUGUUCUCAAAGUGAGGAAAGUGUUCUCCGGGAAAGAGCAUCUGGGAUUUCAUAAGAAAAGAAAUCUGUCGGAAGGCUAAGAGGGAUGAAGAGGAGUCAGUGGCAUGGAGUGGUCAGGCAAGGGGGUUUCAGGAUUUCCUAAGCAGACAUCAAAUCGCCCUGGGCACACUGCAAGGACACAGAGGUACCUUUACUCAGCCCAAGGACAUUAGGAUGCUUGCUCUGCAGACUGCUAGGGCAGGUGGGUGCAGUCUCCCCCCAUAUCCUCAGCUCUGGUACAUAACACUGGAUCUGGAAAGAAAAAGGCUCCCUGAACCAGUGCUGCUCCCCAUGGAGACCUCUCCCCAUGUCCAGCUUCCGCUUUUUUCUCUCCCCACACCCCUCCUUUCCACACCCCUUCCCUUCUCUCUCUAAUCCAGCCCCAUGUACCCAAGAUCCCCACCUGCUGCCGUUCCUCUGGGGAAACUGAGUCUUUCAGCCCAUGGACCUGGAUCAACUCAACUACCAAUUUGUGGAACAGGGGCCCAACCCAUACCUGUUAGCAUACACGAAGGAAAUCGUGUCUGGUUUGCACCUGGUUGUCCUCCUCCAUGACAUUGGCCGGGGAGCUGGGGAGAUAAAUCAGGGCAGUUGUCAGAGGAACAGCCAGGGAGC
rnacentral:lncRNA from 1 species